UUCCCGCUCCUCCCGCCCUGCCGGCCUCGCGGGCGCCCAGCUUCUUUGUGACUGGUGCUCGCAGAGGUCACUCAGCGCGCGGUGUGCGAUCGGCGGGCGGGGCUGGCUCAGGUGCCGUGGCACGGGACGGACGCGGUGGGCGAGGGGGGCGGUCGCGCCGCGACGUCGGCGGCGUGAGGCUUCGCGCGUGAGCGGCGCGGGCGCCAGGCCUGACGGCCAAGCUCCGGUGGCGGGCGCGUAGGUCGUUGACGCGGGCCCGGGCGGAGGUGCGUCCGUCGCUGAGAGCGCGGCGUCGAGGUUCCCGGACCAUGGAGGACCCGCAGCCGCUGCCACAGCCCGAGCUGCCGCUGUGUGACAGCCUCAUCAUCUGGCUGCAGACAUUCAAGACUGCCUCACCCUGUCAAGAUGUCAAACAGCUGACUAAUGGAGUGACCAUGGCACAAGUUCUUCAUCAAAUUGACGUAGCCUGGUUCAACGAUUCUUGGUUAAGCCGAAUUAAAGAUGAUGUUGGAGACAACUGGAGAAUAAAGGCUAGUAACUUAAAGAAAGUCCUCCAUGGAAUUACAAGUUAUUAUCAUGAGUUUUUGGGGCAGCAGAUUUCUGAAGAACUUAUCCCUGAUUUAAACCAAAUAACUGAGUGUUCAGACCCUGUGGAACUUGGAAGGUUGCUUCAGCUUAUUCUAGGCUGUGCGGUCAACUGUGAAAGGAAGCAAGAGCAUAUUAAAAAUAUAAUGACCCUGGAAGAAUCUGUUCAGCAUGUGGUCAUGACUGCAAUUCAGGAGUUGAUGAGUAAAGAAAUCGUGAGCUCUCCUGCAAGUGACACCAUUGGAGAAUUAGAGCAGCAGCUUAAAAGGGCAUUAGAAGAGCUUCAGGAAGCCACAGCAGAGAAGGAAGAGCUGAAGCAAAGGUGCCAGGAACUGGAUAUGCAGGUGACUGCACUUCAAGAUGAGAAGAAUUCACUGGUUUCCGAGAAUGAGAUGAUGAAUGAAAAGCUUGACCAGUUGGAUGGCUCUUUCGAUGAUCCAAAUACAAUGGUUGCGAAAAAGUAUUUUCAUGCACAGUUACAACUAGAACAAUUACAAGAAGAAAACUACAGGCUUGAAGCUGCAAAAGAUGAUUACCGUGUUCACUGUGAGGAACUUGAAAAGCAGCUGAUUGAAUUUCAGCACAGAAACGAUGAGCUGACUAGCCUUGCUGAGGAAACCAGAGCCCUGAAAGAUGAGAUAGAUGUUCUUAGGGCUACCUCAGACAAAGCAAAUAAACUGGAGUCGGCAGUGGAAGUGUAUCGUCAGAAGCUACAAGAUCUAAAUGAUCUCCGUAAGCAGGUGAAAUCUUUACAGGAGACAAAUAUGAUGUAUAUGCACAACACCGUGAGCUUGGAAGAGGAGCUGAAGAAGGCCAACGCAGCACGUGCACAGCUAGAGACCUAUAAGCGCCAGGUUCAGGACCUUCACACUAAGCUUUCCUCUGAGUCUAAAAGGGCAGAUACACUAGCAUUUGAGAUGAAACGGCUUGAAGAAAAACAUGAAGCUUUACUCAAGGAAAAAGAGAGACUGAUAGAACAGCGUGACACUCUGAAAGAGACGAAUGAGGAGCUACGGUGCUCACAGGCACAGCAAGAUCACCUAAAUCAAGCCGAUGCAUCUACUACAAAAAGUUAUGAGAACCUUGCUGCUGAGAUCAUGCCAGUGGAAUACAGAGAGGUGUUCAUUCGACUUCAGCAUGAAAACAAAAUGCUUCGACUGCAGCAGGAAGGGACGGAGAAUGAACGCAUCGAGCAGCUGCAGGAGCAGCUGGAGCAGAAGCACCGCAAGAUGAACGAGUUGGAAACUGAACAAAGAUUGAGCAAGGAGCGCAUUGGAGAAUUGCAGCAGCAAAUUGAGGACCUCCAGAAAUCGUUACAAGAACAGGGCUCCAAGACUGAAGGCGAAAGUUCCAGCAAACUAAAGCAGAAGUUGGAAGCUCAUAUGGAAAAACUAACAGAAGUCCAUGAAGAAUUACAGAAGAAACAGGAGCUCAUUGAAGACCUUCAGCCAGAUAUAAGUCAGAACGUCCAAAAGAUCAGUGAGCUUGAAGCUGCUCUUCAGAAGAAGGAUGAAGACAUGAAAGCAAUGGAGGAGAGAUAUAAAAUGUACUUAGAGAAAGCCAGAAAUGUAAUAAAAACUUUAGAUCCCAAAUUAAAUCCAGCAUCAGCAGAAAUAAUGUUACUUAGAAAGCAGCUGGCGGAGAAGGAAAGAAGAAUUGAGAUUCUAGAGAGUGAAUGUAAAGUAGCAAAAUUCCGUGAUUAUGAGGAAAAACUCAUUGUUUCUGCCUGGUAUAACAAGAGCCUGGCGUUUCAGAAACUGGGCAUGGAGUCUCGGCUCGUGAGCGGCACUGGUGCUUGCAAAGACACCGGUGCGGGGGCUCCAGCGCGGUCCUUCUUAGCACAGCAGCGGCACAUCACCAGCACCCGGAGAAAUCUCUCUGUUAAAGUCCCAGCCGCAGCAUCUGACUAGUCCACAAAGCAAACACGAACAGAAGUGCCUCAAAAUGUUUUGUACCCCAAGAAACUACCAGAUGGAAAACAAAGUUCUGCCCUCAAGAGGAUCCUUUGUCAUGCUGUGGAAACGAUAAUGCGUGGAAGCCUUUACUGUUGGAAUGACUUCGUCCUGUAAAAGCGACUGAUUAGACAUUUGCAGUUUCUCUGAGUUGUAUCUCAGUUUGUACAUGUACUGCUGUGAAUGAAGACUUUGGAGGGCUUGACUGAAAUGGUAAGGUGGGAAAUAAACUGGUAUUUCUAAGAGGUACCUUUCUGUUGGAAAGCAAACUAGAAGAAUACAUGUUGAAAUAUCCAUAUGCUUUUGAGCAUGAAAUUGUUGUGGCCUUUGUUUUUAAAGAAGGGUAUAAUUUUGCUUUAUUACUGUAAAGAAACAAUGAUGAAACAGCUUAGGACCAGUUUGGUUUCUGCUUACCUCUUAAGGAGUUUCUGGAGCUGGAUUUGUGGCAUUCAGUUCAUUUCUGCCCAGGGUUGUUCUUUUCAGAGAUGUUACUUUCUAAUUUGGGAUCACUUUUUAAAGUCACGCUUUGGAAUAUUAGUUGUUAAAUCAGUAUUGCUUGAUGUAGCCACAAGUGGUUCAUUCUUGUGUCAGACACAUUUCCAACACUUAGCAGCCACGUUUUCAUCAUUAUUGAGAGUUAUGGUGUGAUGCAGUGUCACAGUAGAGCUUGGUUUUUGGUUACUUGGGAAAAUUCUUUGAUCCUUAGACUACAGAAGUAAGAAUAAUGCAUCUCAUAUCCAGAGAAGGGUCAGAUGGUGACGAGUGCAGCAACACAAAUGUCGCAGCAUUGUGUAUACACUGAACGUGAGCAGGCAUUCUGUGAGGGAGUGUGCUUGUGGGCUGCGUGUUCCCUGAUGGGUCAGCUCCUCACCACUCCCCUCAGCAUGAAAGGAGGGAUGCUAAUAUGUAAACAAAAUGAGUGUGAGCCAGAUUAAGCUGGCGGGCUGUAGAGCUGUGGUCUACACUUUAUUUUUAGUCCUUCAUAAAUAUGAGUAUUGUUCUAUUUGAAGUGUUAACUCAUGUAGAUAACUGCCUUUAAAUCCUUGCCCAGUGAUUUUUUAACUACUUAACAACACAAGAAUUUCACAGUGAUUUGGGGUUUUGAGAUUAGCGGCAUCUGCCAGGAUAUUUUGUUUUAUCAGGGUUCCUUCUGUUGACUACCUCUUAGAUUUUGAUGCUUUGUGCAUUUAAACUGUUGGUUUGCAUUUUUGUAUGUUCUUAUGGUGUCUGCUUGCCUGUGUCUUUUAGUGAAAUAAGACUUUGGAAAAUACUUUAGCAUGCUGUUUAAAAUUUUCUAAAAAUUGUGGCAUUUGGGUAUAUUUUUGUUAAUGAAGAUAUUGAUGUUAGUGUUUGUAUUUGCUUAUAAUUGAGAUUUUACAAGUUCUCUUUUAAUGGAACUUACUAUAAAAGAUGAACUUCAAUAAAUUAAUGUUUCUAGUGUAAUUCAUUAAUUUCUAAAUAAUUAAUGUAGCAUAAAUAAGGACAUAAGGAUAAGUUUUCUUUUCUUAAUAAAGGCAAAUUUUCUGAUUUUUUUAGUUUUAAGUAGAAUUUCAAACAUUUGAUACAUGUUUAUACAAAACUAUGUAAAGUUCUAUAUAAAUGAGACUAAUCACAGAAAUUGAGGCAGUGAUCAGGGUGAUUCUUUCCCUGUGUGGUUCAUGCAGUGAGACCAGUGCCUGCCAGGUAUAAAGCAUAUGUGUUUCAUCUGGAACCAUAAUUCUACAAAUGUGUUACAAGGGAGGAUUGAAUGUAUAAACUUGGAAUUGACAAAAAUUUUAUGUCCCAGUGAUUAUAAAGUUAGAAACAAUUUUGAAUUUCAAGCAGUUGUCCUUGGAUUGAUAUUCCUUUCUCUUUUUGGAUAUAAUUAUGACAAAUGGUUUAUCUUGGAAACUAAUUUAAUGUAUUGAGAAAUAUUUGAAGUUUACUCUAUUUUUUUUCCAGUGAUUAAGACUAAUGAUUUAGUGUAAGUUAAAAAUACCUUGCCUAGCAUCCUUUAGCCGAGUACCCCUUAGUAAGAUCUGGUAAGUUGUUGAUGACUGGAUGUUAAACACUUCACAAAUACACCUACUUUUGUGUAAUGUACAUCUGGCCUUUGGGAGUGACAGUGAUUUAGGCCAGAGUAGUGUCACUUUGUGUAAAAAUAAAUGUAUAUGGCUUGUUAUACAUACAGUCUUAUUGUGAUCUUGUUUAUUGCACAGAAAUAGUUUGGACACUUAUAAAGCACAAAUCAUCAAAGGAAAUAGUGUGUAGUUAUUGAAUUUGAGGAAGUCUCAGUAUAGUGUUUAGUUUAUAAAAAGGUCCUUUCUAUUUUCUAUGACAAAUACUGUCAUACUUGAAAAAUAGACGCAAUACUUGAUUUAUUUUUGUAAGUAUUUAGAAUAUUAUUUUAAAUAAAUGAUUGUCAAUAUAAUUGUGAAAUGUUUUGAGUAAAUAAACUUCUGCUUCUGUAUCA